rnacentral:tRNA from 1 species
AUUUUAUUAGUAUAAGAGUAUAUCUAACUUCCAAUUAGAAGGUUUGUUUAAUCAAAUAAAGUA